rnacentral:lncRNA from 1 species
UGUGAUUGGAAAGCUUUUCCGAGCAGUGAGAGACAUUGCACCACAUACAAGCUCUAUUAAGUCCUUUACUUUGGAAGUGGCAAGGCAGUGUUAUGACCCUGAUAUGGAAGUUGAUGGUUUUGAGGAUUAUAUAGAUGAUGCCUUCUAUUACAAAACGAAUUAUGAUUACAAAUUGGGUAAUCAUAUGGACUAUUAUGGCAUCAGAACUGAGGCUGAAAUUCUCGGUGGAAGUAUUAUGAAAAUGUCAAAAGCUUUCACCAAGAAAAGGGACGCAGAAGCAAUUGGUUUGGCGGUGAGGUCCUUAAGAAAAGAAGCAAGAUCUUGGUUUAAAGAAAGGGGAAGUGGAUUAGAUUCUGAAGAAGAUGAUGUUUAUGCAAAAGCCUCCGCUUGGUACUAUGUUACUUAUCAUCCUAGUUAUUGGGGUUGCUACAACGAGGGAAUGAAUCGAGAUCAUUUUCUUAGCUUUCCUUGGUGUGUUUAUGACAAGCUGAUCCAGAUCAAGAGGAAGAGAAGGUGUCAAAAUUUAUCAUUGCUUGAACGCCAGUUUGGGCUUGGACUGCAUUUUCAUUAACAAAUGUGAAAUUUUGAACAUGUCUAUAUGUUCAUAGUCUUGGUUUGAGUUUGCCAGCUAAUCCAGAUCAGCGGAACAAAUCAAGGAUCAACCAGGUUCCUACUUUUUUCUCUUUACAGAUUUUCCAUGUAGAUGUGGACUGCUUUUGAGUUUAGAAGGUAAUCAAAAUAUAUGGCUAUACAUAUGGUUAUGAAUAUGUAAUAUUUCAAAGACAAUAUAUGAUGUAAAUGUUUAUGUUCAUAUAAUGGCAGAANNNNNNNNNNNNNNNNNNNNNNNNNNNNNNNNNNNNNNNNNNNNNNNNNNUUUUAUUUGCCUGAUUGUUGAUGCAUUAUCCAUAUUUAGGUGUUAUAUAGCCGUUUUGAGAUACAUGCUAUUCUAGUCGUGCAUGAUCGGUGUUUGUUUUUUUGCUGCAAAUAAUGGGUACUGAUAAUUUGAAUGUUUAACAACAUUUAUUAGUCAGUUUUUCUGGUAUGUAUAACAAAAGCUGCACUGCUAAUUGCUGAUAUGAUAGCUUUUGAUUAUGGCGAUUUUGGUUUCAGAAUAACAGUUAAUUGAGAUCCUUUUCCAUUGCUUGAAAAUGACAAGGGCAUAGCUUCAUGCAUUCUCUUGAGGAACCGUUCAAACAAUUCAUUAACAAUCUCAGCUCCAAAGUGUUUGGUAAUGACUGGUUCUAACCCAGAUUUGAAAUGCAUCAUGAUUGUAUAUUCAGUUGGUUGAUUAUCAGGGCUGCAUUCGCAAUCUGUAGGCUCCAUUCUUUCAAUGCUAAAACACCCACUUUGUUCUAUAAACUGUGUAAGCUCCUUGGGCGUUACACAGUACAAUGGAAUGUUGAAAGAGUCCACAAGUGCUUCACAUAUUAAUCCCUGCAAUCAGGAUUUUGAUUUGGUUAUUUACAUGUUUUAAAUUUUCAUGGGGUUUCACUGUUAUCGUUAAUAUUUAACUUUUCAAACUGUUAUCGUUAAUAUUUAACUAUUGACCAACUAUCAUUAAAAGCUGAUUUUCCAUUGCUGAAUCAAGCAGACCCCUAAAUCUAUAAUUUCAUAUAAUCCACUAGUCUAGUAUGUUUCUAUAUUGUUACCUCUUUUGCCUUGUCCAUGAGGCACGACCCUAAAUGAUUCAGCAAUAUCCCGAUUGGUACAUUCGACGGAGAGACCCCAUCAGGAAUAGAAGGAAUGAUUAUCACCAUCAUGCUUCCCUCUGCAAGUUCUUUUGCUCUGGCAUUCAAGAACAUUCCCAUAUCCUUGCUAAAUUGGGCAGCAAAGGCUUUCACUACUGCUUCUGAUGCACCUGUAUAGUGAACUCUCCCUCCGUUCCAUGCAGGAGAGUCCAUGUCGAACACCUCUUCAGGAACACCAGAAAGCCAAUGUAAUGUGUAGGAGGAAUGCACAAAAUGGAGAGACGAGUCAGGAAACAACUGGGUAUGAUAUGACCUUGGUACCCCUGCUGUAAAAUAUUUCCUGAGGUGGGAGAGACUUGAAAAGGGUAUUAAAGUCGUUAAAUGGAAGAUCAUUAAAGAAAACUUGAAACUGAGGUAUUUGAUCGUAAGUGAAGCCUUCAUUUAUGAACUUUCGCUCCACAGCUUCAAGUAUACUAUGAACAUAGUAAAAGGUGUUUGGUCCUGUUGAACAUCCCAUAUCAGCUAUACAAAAUGCCUUGCUACAUGAAGUUGAUAAAAAUGACUUCGUUUCAAGCUUCUCAUGGAUUGUCUCAUCAAUUAUUCCCUUCAUGAAUUCCAGAAUCCAUUUCUGCAAAAACGAAUUUAAACUUAAUCUUAAAAUACAGAAGUUUCUGCUAUCUUCUUUAAAUAUUUUUCAACAAAAAGAGAACACUACAACUACUUAGUGAUUUAGAAAGUAAAAUACCUGAUGGUGACUGAGGGAGCCCUUGGCAGCAGGCAUCUCGACGCCUAUCUUCAACUCUUCUUCUCUCUCACCUCCAUUUUUGCAUAUUUCAAAGAUUUAUAUUUAUAUGUAUAUGGAAUUAGCCGUCCUCGUAACAUAGAUUCUUUAUGUCCAAAAGAAUGACAUUUUCAAGUAACUCUUGCUCUAUGUCUUGUAGUCAUCAUCAGGCAUAAAGAAUAAGUUUCAGACAACAUCGAAAAUAAAAUUCAUUUUUUAAUUUGCAACAAUAUAUAUAUAUACUGAUACCAACAAAAUACAACAAAAUAAGCGUGUUUUAUGACUAAAGUCUAUGACUAUAGACUAUAGACUUUAAUUAAUGAACAAAAGACUUUAGACUUAUAAAAGACUUUUAAAAUAAAAGACUAAAGACUUUGAAAAUAAAAUGAUAAAGACUUGAAAACUUUAAAAACAAAGACUUACUUAUGCUUUUUAUUGUUUAUCGUAUAUAGACUUAUGUUUUCCAACAAAAACUUAAAGUUGAUAAAGACUUAUGCUUUUUAAUUUUUAUUGUAUAAAGACUUUAAAACUUGAUUUUAAACAAAGUCAUAUAUAUGUAGAGCGCUAAGAUUAUUACUAGGAUUUAAAUAAAUACAGAUACAAACAUUUAAAGAUAAAUCAUAACUGUGAACUAAAAUACUAUGAUUAAUUGGGUUUAUAUGAAUACUUAUAUAAUUCAUUAAAUAUAAUUUUACUUCAGAGUCAACACAAUAUUUCUGAUGUGGAAGAUCAGACUAAGCUGCAUCCACAGAGCAUACUUAUAACAAAUUUUAAUCAACAAUUUUAGCACAAAGGUUUAGGGUUCCUGCAACCUUAACCUAGGAUCCCCAGAAUUAAGUCAGAGUGUGGAGGGAGAAGAGAAAGGUGCCGUAAACACGGACUUAUAUUCGUAGCAGUUUAAAAUAAAAUACAAACUUUAUUUAAUUACAAAAUAUAAAUACAAGAUUUAAAACUUACAANNNNNNNNNNNNNNNNNAUAUAUAUAUAUAUAUAUAUAUUGUGAUGCAUUUAUGGUGAAAAAUAAUAACUGGGAAGAGGUAAACUUAGAACCAACUGAAGGGAAGUUAUCUCAAAAGAUCUACUAUUCUUCGAUGUCAGUACAGAUUUAGCUAUGAACAGGUCAGAAUGAAAACAAAAGAUUCGUAUAGUUUGAGAUUAAAGUUUAGUCGUAGCUAUAAUAAAAAUAUUUAUAUAUACAAUUGAAUUUAUAUUUAUUUUUCUUCUCUAACAGCAUAAUUAAGUGUGUAGAAGAUUUUCACAGGUACAGGUAUUAUUUUACUUGGAACGUAUAGUUUUAACUGGCAGCACUAGUUCGACUGGUUAAUUAUGCUAGUUUGUACUUAUUGGGAACUUGUUUACUAAUUGCUAUGCCAUUGACAAUUUCUGAUGCCACUCAAUAUGUUCUUUUAUGUUCAUAUAGGGGACGACCAAACUCUUGCUUUUUCGGGAUCUACAAUUACAAUGCCGUUUUGAUUUGUAAAAAGUCUUGCAUGUCUGUAUUUUCCUAGUCAGGGAAUUAAAAUUUCGACUUGGAGGCUUCACUUUGAUUACUAGCAAUAAUUUGAUAUGACGGCGGCGAAGUCUAGUUAUAGCUUUCCCAAAUAGUAGAGACUGAGGUGGAGUAAAUGGGUCCUUGUUGAUUGGCAUUGUGAAGGAAAAUGAGAAGGAACAAUCUACACAAACCAAGUUUUUUGUUAGAUCUUUGUCUUUUGAUAAAUAUUUUUUCUUGGAAUGAUUUCAAGCUUCCAACCUUCACAGUUCCCAAGAAGGCAGGACCGUCUUCUCGCACUGGAUCGAGUAAAAUUGGGCUAAUUUGUGUGGUGGGAGGAGGAAGACCAUGAAGAAAGGGUUAGAGAAAGACUUUUUAGUAUAAUCACGAGGGCAUCAUUUGUUAUUUUAAAAUAAUUUUCUCUCUUAUUUUUUCUUUUCAUCUUUUAACGGAAAACACAUAUUUUUGAAGGGAAGGAUCGAGACGGAAUCAAAUCAUGACGACUCAAUAUUUAAUAUACAACGAUAGGAGAUAGGAGAACAGGAUAAUUAAUUUUGUAAAACCUCAAAUUAUAAUAAUUAUUUUCAAAAAAAAAAAAAAACAGCACCUGAAAAGACGAGAUUGCAUAGCUGUAAUCGCCAUCUCCUCCAUUCAUUACACAUGCAUGAUUCCGCCAUUAACAUUUCCGAAAAAGCUUUAAAUAACUCAAUUCUCUCAAUAAUGAAGCAACUGUUUCUUUUUACAAGUUCUUGCACCUCCUUAGCAGAUGGAAUAUAAAAGGGGAGAUUGAACGAGUCCACUUGCACUUCUCUCACCAAUCCCUGUGCAUGUUUAAACAAAAAUGGAUUAAUUACAAUGGAGAAUUUCUUUAUGGGCGAGCUAUAACUUGGAAGGUCAUGAAUUUGAAUUGAAACAUUCAAAAAUAAGGGUAAGAGGCAAACAAUGGAGAACCUCCCAAAACCAUAUAAUAAGAUGCACAAAGAUAUCAAAUUUUACAAUAAGAUUACAGUAUGAUGAAGUAUAAUUGUAAUAACUGAUAUAAUUAAAUGUAUUUUUAGUAUAAUCACGAGUUCUGAAACUGACCUCUCUAGCCAUGUCCAUGAGGCUAGAUCCCAGAAUAUCAAACGACACGUUAAAUAUUCACAAGAAUGAGAAAUCCCAUCAUGGAUAGUUGGCACCACGAUUAAUAUAAUCCCACCAACCACAAGCUCUUUGGCUCUUGCAUCCAAAAAUAUCUCCAUAUCCUUUUCGAACUGGGUGGCGUAUGCUUUGCAUACUUCAUCUGAGGCACUAGUGUAGAAAAUUCUGCCCUUGUUCCAAACAGGAGAGUGGUUAUUUAGAAUCUCUUCUGGCAUCUGAGUUAGCCAAUGCAAUGAAGCGGAAGUGUGCAUUAGAUGAAGAGAGGACCUGGGGAAUAACCACCCAUGGAAUGACCCUGGCACGCCAGCAGCAAAGUAUCCCCUGUUUGGAUGUAGAGAUCUAAAUAGAGUAUUGAAAUCAUUCAAGACAUGAUCAUUGAGGAACACUUGAAAUUCAGGAAUUGGGGAAGCCAGACCUUGAGAAUGACACUUAUAUUUCACUGCUUCAAUAAUAUUUUCCAUACAAAUAAAGGUAUUUGGCCCAACUGAACAUCCUAAAUCCGCAAUGAACUUGAAGGACCAAAAAUGAGAUCGUUUAUGUUCAGAUUACGAGCAAUUGCCUCAUCAAUCAAACUUCCAGCAUUAUCAAUGACUUCCCUCUGCAAAUAAAGAUCAAAUAAUGCGAAAAAAAAAUUACAUAUAUUUCCUUUUACCAUUUUCUCUAACAUACAAAAUGAGUACCUGAAAUGAGGAAUUGUUAGAGUAGCUGUUGUCGUCAUCUCCUCCUUUCAUUGGAUAUAAUUCCACCAUUGACAUUGUGGCUGUGCUUUGGCUCGUUGUCUCUGUAUAAGCUAUGGGAUGGUUGUGGUGAGAAUUUUCGCAUCUUUUUUUACAUAUAUUAUUAUCAAAAAACUGUGUUAAAAAAUUAUUGUAAAAAGGGUUGUAGCCAUAAAGAGUAGGGUUCUGAUUCAAACUGAAUCAAAUCAAGGCAAAGAAUACUAACCGAAGUUUUUGGACAAUAGAUCAAAUCAAACUGAAAUUGGUAUCUGUACCAAAUCAAAUCAGUUGGUUCGGCCGGAUUUAGUUUGUUGCCAUAUCGAUUCAAUUUUAAGUUAAUUGAUGAAUUUCUAUAAAACUGACUUGAACUAAGUAAUAAAUUCGGUUUCAACAAAAUAAAUCGACAAAUUCGAUUCAAACCAAUCACUGAUCGAACAAAAUCAGAAUGUGUAGAUUUAGUUUAAGAUUCGAUUCGGUCGGUAAUAAAGAGUGGAAUUUUAAAACUUUUAAAAGAUAAACUAUUUUAUUUGUCAUAUAAAUCAAAGUGAUUUUGCGUUAAAAGUAAUGGCUUUCACUUUUAACGCAAAAUCACUUUGAUUUAUAUGAAAAAUAAAAUAAUUUAUCUUUUCAAAGUUUUAAAAUGUCUAUUUAUAAAAUAAUUAAAACUAAUCAAUUUAAUAUUUCUAAAAAAAAAUCAAUUUAUUUGAUAUCGAGCCGAUAUUAGAACCUUGAUAAGUUUAAAGUUUCCAAACCUAUAAUAAGCCUAAGAUGCUGAAAGACAUAACCAACCCAACAUAAUAAUAGCUAGCCUUUUAGCUAAUAAUUUCAUCAUAAAUAUCGGACCAUUCAUGUCCAUAUAAUAACCAAACAUUAACAUUAAUCAAUAUUGCGUUUAUGUCCUUUUAUAAAUUCUUUUGCCUAACUAUUAUUAAUAUUUUUAUAAAUUAAUAUUAGCUUGGCUAACAGACAAUGAUAGCAACAGCAAGAAAACUCAGCUAUCCUGUAAGUGCAUAAUUUCAUAGAAAAAAAAAAAAUACAAACCAUGUGCCGAAUUAGGUAAGCGUAGUGAUUUUCUCCAUUCACAUAAUAGAACACUCAGACAUUUUGCUUAAAGGAUUUGAGCUCUUUCCACUCAGACCAAUUGUUAGUUAAUUUUAUUGGACUUUCAAUGUUAUAAUAGGAUUUUAAUAUUUAUUCAAAUAUAUAAUCUCUCCUAUCUACUCAAUUUUAUUAUCAAUAUCAACUCUUACAAUGUGUUGCUGCUUAUUUAACAUUGAGAAGCAGGUCUUGCCCAUAUCAACAAGAAAACUUUAAAAAGAAAAUAUGCUUGUAAAUUAGAAAUCACAGAGAAUUGAUCACGCACGUUUUAGAGCAAGAAAUACUUGAGAAGUUUCUGCUAAGCUGGCCUGCAACUGGGAAGACAAUUCUUGCGUCUUCUUAAGAAACCGAUCAAACAAUUCAUCUAUAAUCCCACUUCAAAAUUUUGGCUAAUAAUUCAUCUUUUUCAGAUAAAAUAACUAGGACUCAAAGUACCGUGUCUUUCUUGUUCAGCAAUUGCUACAGUAAAAGUACAAAAUCUACUAGUGACAUUCUUGUGUAAGUAGGACUUAAUGGAAAAUGUCAUAGCUCCUAGUUUGUAUGAAAUUCUCCAUACAGUUCAUGCCAAUGCCUACUUUAUAAAGUGGGACAUGAUUUAUCACUGAUGAGAGCAUGGACUCUUAGACUGGAGAAACGAAUAUAAAACAGUCAACAACUUCAAGUUUUAUAAAAGAUGUAUGGAUUGAUUUGAUAUGUUUAUUUGAAAAGUUUAUCUUGAUUCCUAUAUCUUUUUCUUCUUGUCCUCGUUUGUUUUUUUGUGUGUGUGUGUGUGUGUGUGUUUGUCAGGACUUGGUAUUUAUGGUGGAUAAUAUGUGAAUGAGAUAACCAUAUUCUGAUAUUUGCCUUGAUAAAAACUUGUUUGAUGUGUCUUCUUUAUUUUUCUUCAAUUUGAUGUUUUCGUGACCUUAAGUUUAACUCUUAAUUAGAAAAACUUUGUUUAUUGCUAUGCAUGUGGUUCUACCCAUAGCUGUUUAUAUAUAAAUAUAUCUAUUUUUUCCCGAAGUCAUUUUGCCCACAAUUGGAUAUAACUAUAACAUAUUUCCAUAAAGGGCUUUAUAUAUCUCCAUUUUUUUUUUUUGGGCAGUUACAUUUUGCUCCAUCUCUCAAAGUCAAGCAAUUUCUUAAUUUUAAUAAAUUUGUUGUUUGUCCAGGACACAGCAAGGGCCAUUCUGAAGAAUGCUGCUGGCGUGGUGGUUAUUGAUGAUCGGGCAUCCAAUCACUUCCCAACGCCAUUGGAGAUAUCAAACAAAGAUGAUGUUGCAGUCGGUAGAAUCCGCCGUGAUGUUUCUCAAGAGGGGAAUCAUGGGUAAAACUCACUUGCAAGCUAUUUUUUUUUUUUUCCCACUAAAUAAUUAAAUAGCCUUUAUAGACCAUCUUACUAAUGCUGGAAUUCCAAGCAGGUUGGAUAUAUUUGUUUGUGGGGAUCAGAUACGCAAGGGCGCUGCACUUAAUGCCAUUCAGAUUGCUGAGUUGCUGCUAUAGUCCCCUUUAGUUUUAGUUUUAGGUUCCAUAUAAUGCUCUUAUUUAGUGUGAUGAGGCCAGGUGGUUUUGGAUCAUAAGCUAUUUUCUAGUCUUCACUUGCAGAUAUUCAUUGAUAUAAUGAGGUUGAGCAAAUUCGAAAAGUUCCUGUACUAUAAGUUUGUUACGUUGCCCCUUUGAAGUUUCACUUGAUUGUAUUCAUAUGCUCUGUCUUUACAAUGAAGUAAAAUUUUGUUAUAUUGUAUUCAUAUGCCAUAGCUGGACACUGUAUGAGGAUGUAUUGCAGUAGACUCAUUGAAUCUCAAUCUACUGCAAUGGGAUAUUUCUCGCUCGCAUAUUUUAUGUACAAAGAUUCUCUUACCAUUGAGUAAGUCAUAGCCUCCAAUCGGACCAAUCCACUUAACAAGAAAAGAUCACUAGUUGUUCUUUCUCUCUUUCUUUUUUGGAUUUGCAUGUGUGAUUUCAUAUUCGGGUCAGGACUGGUGUUCAGAUGCUCCGUGAAGACUGGUAUUAUAGCGACUCUUGGUAUGCUACCACAUUACUAAGCCUUAAUUUUUCACAGAAAUUGUGAUGAGGAUAUCGGAGAAGCAACUCAAGAAGCAGCGUCCUGUUAAACAUUUCGACAUUUUUCCUGAAGGAUUAUUCUGUGACCGAGGACACAAGCUCACUCCAAAAGUUUAUUCUCUUGUUACAUUUUUUAGGGUCAAGUUUGAACUAUACAUGAAAGCCGAUCCCACCUCUCAUUCACUAGCAAGUUGAGGAAUUGACUCUCCAUGGGAAGCAUAAUUAGUGAGAAUAGUUUUUAUUUUUCAUUUCAUGCAUUAGAAAUUCUUUUAUGGCACCGUUUGGAAAAGUUUAUAUGCAAUAAUUUUUCAACUUAUAAUUGUAUUAGAAGAAUUGAAUUUCAUUCUUAUAAUCUUAUGUAAAAAUUGUUUCACGUACCAUGUAAAGCGGUAAUGAAUUCAAUUUAUUAUUUUAUUUUCUUCAUUAUCUAUGUUUAUUCAAAUAAAUUCAAUAAUAAUCCGAAUGAAGUAGUUCGGUGAUAAAGAAUACUUACGGAGUAAAUCACUAUGAUUUGAGUCAUAGGUUUGAUCCUCCGUCAACGCAAAUUUUUCUGGGCCAAUCCUUUUGCCUCCAAAAGCGAGUAAAAAUUAAUUAGAUUUGUGGGUUGUCAAAAUGGACACGGGCCGAAUACUUCGAGCAAUGCCUCAAUUUGACAAUUAACUUCUGAAAGGGUUUUGGAUUGAUUGACAUAUGUUGUUUAAAUUUGUAACUAUAUUCUACAUUUUUUUUUUUUUGCUUGUCAUGUUUAAACAGGAAUCUAAACACAGACACCUGAGAGAGUAAACUAAUAUUUUUAUUUUUCUUAUUGAUAAAAAACUAAAUAAAUCUAAUUAAUAUUAGUUACAAAUAAUUUCUUUUAAUAAAUUUCGCUUGCUUAAUAAAAAAUCUCAUAAAUAAAAUUUCCUUGUGUUAUUUAAAUUAAAGACAUAAAACGAGUAAACUAGCCAUCCUAUUCCUUCCCUCGUAGGAAUCGGAGAUUGGCCACUUACGCAGUCAAAGCAAAAGCGGUUGAGUUGAGUUGAGAAGGAUGGAUGAUUAAAAACGGCGUUAAGGUUUUAGCUAAGGUCGUCAACACUUGAUAACUUCAUCUUCUACUUCACGAGGAAGUUUAAACUUUCAAAGAAUAAUUAUUUAAGGUAACGACAAAGGUUCUCUCUUGUGGAGAGCAGGAUGAGGUGGCCCCUUCCUUCCUUGCAAUUAGCAAUGAUAGAAAACCUUAUUUUCCUUUGUCCUUUCCAAGUUUCUUCUAUUUCCAUAAAAUACAUAAGGAACGUUUACUCUCUUAUCCAUGUAAAUACUGUAACAUUUACAGUGGUGUUUAGAUUUUAAGAGGAGGAAUAAUGAAAUGUUAUUUUUUUAAAUAUUUAAUAAAACGCCAAUAAAACAAUUCAUGGUUAAAUAUUAUUAAAAUAACGAAAUUUACACCGUCUUUUUUAGAUAACUUUCUAAUAAAUUUUUAUUUAUUUAUUGAAAUACCUUGAUAUUUUAAAAAUUGUUACUUAUUAAAAAAUGUUAUUCAAAAUCUUCUAAAAGAACAUUUUAUUCAAACUAAAAAAAUCACUCAUUUAACACUGUUUACAUUAAUUAACUAGUUAUUUGUUCUAAUAGGAUACAAGUUACCUUGAAUGAUAAUUAACUUAUUUCAACUAAGACAUGAAGCGGAAUGUUAGAAAAUCGUGAGUUAUCUAUUUUGAUAAAAGAAAAUAGUUAUCCUAGUUCUAUUUGAUACCUUUUUUUUUUCCUCAAAUACUUAUUAUAUUUAGAUAUUUCACUUCUCUUAAUUAAGAAAAUCAUUUAAUUUAUAAUAAAUUAUUCAGUGAGUUUAUUAUAUUAUUUUUAAUUUUUUAUUUGAGUUAAAAUCAUUCAACUGAUAUUGAUCAUAAUAAAAUAAAAAAUUUAUUAUUUAUUAAAUCCAUGAAUGUAAUAAGUAUUUAAUAUAUAUAUAUUUUUAAAUUUGACAAGUACUUGCGGUAAUGGUUUUUAGGGUAAAAAUUCAAGAUUUGGAAAUGGAGACAUUUUUUGAAACUUGCAUGUAAGAUUGCAAGUGAUUGGAUAAAUUGGUAUCAGAGACCGCGAUGUAUUCACGCGGAGGAGUGGUCCCAAUAAACGGGACAAUAAUAUGGGCUUUCACUAUAGUGUAUCCGGACUACAAGCAUUAUAUAAACACUAUCCAAUAGUUUUUAUCCACGUCAGCAAAUUCAAGCAGUAGCGUCCGUUACUUACCGCGUUAACGUAUGUCGACGUCAUAAUAAACGUCAACCUAGAAAGAGUGCUGCGAUGGAGGGAAUCAUGGCUUUUUUUUUUCUUCUUGUGUACGAGGGCAACACAGUGUCACAGAGAGACUUACAUUGACUGAUUGGAGAAAAAGCAGAUGAAAAUUUGCUUGCUCAAAGACAGAGAAAGAGCGACUUGAAUGUGAAACUGUUUCUAUCGCUGGUUUCGUUUCUGGUUUCUUGGAUGAGAACUGAAGUGGUUUAAUUUGAGUGAGCGAGUGAUAAUUUGGUUUCUUUAUUUUACUUUUCUGGUAAGGUCUCAAACCUUUAUUUGAUUCUUUGAUUGCUUUCUUUCCAAGUAUAAUUUCCAGAAUGUGGAUACAUCCAUUAAAAAAAGUUUUCAUCCUUAUGCUAAAUUUUACUUUUUUUGGGAGUCUGUUUUCUUUUAAUUUUUAGAUAAAUGAGAUUGCUUUAUUAGCCUCUUUAGUGUAGGUGGCUUUGAUUCUGGAAUACAUAUAUUAUUGAUGUACUCUAUGAGUGUUUUGUGUUAUCAGAUUCGUAGUUGAUUUUUUUUUUUUUUGGCAAUUCUGUGUUUUCUUUUACCAAUAUAUCCAUCUCUCUCUUCUUGUGAAAUUUACUUAGAAAAGGUGAUUCGGUUAUUUUAUUUAUAUCGGCUUGCAAUAGCUGGCAUAUAAUUGGGGCAUUGUGGCUAUAUCUGACAAGGAUCGAUGUGGUAUGGUUUUUGAUAAAGAUUAAUGAUGGAAGAGUAAUAAAAGGAUAAACUUGUUAAUGAUUCAAAAACCAUGCUUGGAUGCUGAACGCAAUUUUAGGUUUUUAGAUUGAGUGAUUUUCAGCUUUUAGCAGUUCUUGAUGAUAGUGUAGUUAUAAGCAUUGUUUUGUUUUUCUUAUUUAUUUCAUUGCAGUGUCUUAUAUUUUUUUGACAUAAGCUAUAAAUUUCAUCACAUCAAUCUGAGUAAAAUGCUUGGCUUCUUUGUGCAUUCCAUUGUUUUUGUGUUAAAUGCAAUGCUAUUUUUUCUUGCCUCUGUUGCUUUCCACAUAGAGUUUGUGUUUUCAAUGAUUCUAUUUAAUCUCGAAUAUUGAUUUCAUUUCAAAAUCGUUAUACUUCAGGUUGUGGUUAACAUGUAUUUGGUGCUGAUUCUGGACAUGCGUGUAAACCCUUUGAUUCUCCACAUUUGUUCGGAGUUCAUAUUUAGAUUAUGCUGAUAUAAUUAUUCAUUAAGGAAGCCAUUGAUUAAAUUCAUAACCAGCACAUGGUGGAUCCUGCAUUAUUUUGCCAUAGUAGUUACAGAGUCAUAUUUGGAAGCUUGUGGGGGUCUGUUCAUAAUCACGAAAUUUUUAUUUAUAAGUUAUUACCUUUCAUAUUUUCUACAUUGGAUUAGCUUUAUGAUUGACCGCAUGACAAUGCCUACAAGAAAGUUAUACUCAGAAUCUUUGAUCAUUUACAUUGUGGAAGUGCAUAUCUCCCUAAAAAUUUCGGAGCGUUAGUAUCUGUAGUGGGUGAUUCAGUUUGUUCUAUUUUGACUACAGAAUUUCUUUGAUGGGUAAGACGAUUCAGGUGUAUGGAUUCCCUUCCCAUGUGACUGUAGAUGAAGUCAAGAAGUUUCUGGAAUCACAUUCAGGGGAAGGAACUGUUUUUGCAAUGAAGAUCAGGGAAACCAAAAAUAGGGGUCGAAGAAAAUAUGCUAUUGUUCAAUUCCAGACUGCCAGAGAUGCUGAAUUAAUUAUAUCUUUGACUAAUAAACGUCUUCGGUACGGCACUUCAUAUCUCAAGGCUCGGCCUUUGGAUAAUGAUAUUGUACCAAAGCCCAGAACGUUUUUACACAGCAUGGACCAUAUAACACUGCAUUUUGGAUGUCAGAUAUCAAAAGAAAAGUUUUCUGUUCUAUGGACAGGGACAAAUGUUUCGGUGAAUUUUGGAUUUGGAAUGAGAAAAUUGCAAUUUUUUCUAUCUCAUGGACAAAUGGGCUACAAGCUUGAACUUUCUUAUGAGAAUGUUUGGCAGAUGGAGCUACAUUGUCCACGAGGUCGAUCUGUGAAAUAUCUUCUAAUUCAGGUUUCUUCAAUAUAUUUUAUUUAAUUUUUGGAUUAUUAAAUACCGUUUCUUGAUACUCUUACAGCAUUUUUCUCUGUUAUUUGAAAUUCUUUAUAGGGCUUUUUCGAACCUUGGAAAUGCCUUUUUUGCCCUGUUAUUUAUUGCACGGAUGAACUAUGUUUUCCUUUUACAUAAACAAAUUGUUGAGCUGCAUAGUGGGCAUAGUAAUUAAAGGCGCAAGGGGCACCUAUGCGCAAAGAGCUAUUGGAGCCUAGGUGCUAGCCUGAGUGAAGUGAGGCGCGAAAAUUAGAAAUAAAUAAAACACAUAAACAAAAAAAAAGGCAACAAGACAAGUUAUAUUGUAAGAUAUUGGAGUUAAGAUAGAAAAGUAAAAUCACGAAAUGAAAAAAAGAAAAAAAAGAAAGAAAGAAUAUAGAAAGCAAAUUGGAAGAGAAAUUGAGAGAGGCAUGUCUGAAUGGCUGUUAGCCAAAGGCUAGACUGGAGGGGGUGAGUGCUAGAUGGAGUGGAGGCUGGAUCUAAAGCAUAUCAUUGGUUUUUGUGAUAUAAUGACAAAGGAUUCAUAUGCCCAACCUCAACUAGUUUGGGGUUAAGGCCUUUAUUGUUGUUAUGUUGUUGUAGUAGAUACUGGGCUAGACAGUUUUAUAUUCAAAGGCGACUUGUUAAAACAAAAAUUAGAAAGACGGGCCUUUCUUGGGCCUAAGGCCGAAAAAGGCCCAAAAAGGCUAGUCGCCGGCCUGCGGACUGUUGAGUCAUAAUCCCUUGAAUUUGAAGUUGAACCUUAAGUAAGGCAUGAGGCACGCCUUUAAUGAGUAUGAUGGUGUGAAAAUGAAUUCUCUUAUUAGUAGUAAAUUGAACAAUUUACUUAUAUCUCGGUUACGACUAAAGCAUGAUACAUGCAUGUAUUUUUUUUUUCCUUGCCAUAUGUGGUGUUAUCAAGAAAAUUUGGAUAUUCCUAUUGGUUUGCUUGAACUUUCUGCUGGCUUUUCUAACAGACUGAAUACCUUUUUGAACUAAUAAGUUAAUUAUUUGUUUCUUUUGGUGUCCAAACAUGGGCUUAGAGUUUUCGCUCAUUCGUGGUUUUGAUUUCUUACAUAUGUGUGUCUGCAGUCUGAGUCUAAUUGUUUUAAUUGACAAUUUUUCUACUGGUCAGCCGUGCAUUAUAUAUUUCAGGCAAAAUAAUUAGCAUUCGGAAUAUAGAAAUUGUGCUGAUUAACUCAGAAAGCGUUAAAGCAGUGCUAUUGUUUGACAUGUAUUGAUGUCAAAUAUAUGAUCAGAGACUGGUUUUUAUGCAUGUGAGGGUAUAAAGCACUAGGCACUUGUUAAAAAUUUAAAAUCUUGUCCAAACUCUUGACUGAUGUUUGCUGGUUCUUUAAUCAUUCUGCAGAUAUUUUAACUCUUUUAGAUUUAAGUGAUAUGCUUUAUCUUUAGUUCUCAAUCUUUCAUGCUUCACUGGUCUUCUGCACAUGGUCUGUGCACGUGUCGUUACCCACCUCUGUUUAAAUAACUUACCGUUUAUCCAAAAACUAGCAAAAUAAGGUACUCUUGAUGGAUAGGGGCACAGAGAUUUUAAUAUGGUUUUAUCAAUAAAAUUGGCAAACUUUCUAUCUCAGGGAAUUUGAAAGAGUUGUCCCUUGGUUAAGUUUACUAAUAUGAGGAUCUUAUCAGGCAAGAUAGCUGAAUUCCUUUUUCCUGCUGGUAGAAAUGUGGCAUUUGUGAUUCACUGACUUGCCAAAAUAAAUGGGAAGUGGAAUCUAAGGCCAAGGGUUUACUUACUUGGGAAUUGAAAGGUGCUUACUGUUUUGCUGAAUAAAAAAAAGCUGUAUGUCAUGUAAAAAGUUUCCCUUUUCCUUAUUUUUCUUUCUGUUGGUAAUUUGUGCUUUUAUUGGGUUCAUUUAUGUCAUUAGUCUGAAUGUGAUGCAUACAAUAAUCAAACAAUUUGUGCUAUCUCUUUUUUCAUGUAAGAUUUCAAGUAAAAAUGCAAACUGCUAAUUUGGUUUCUGUUUUUUUAGUUAUAUGGUGCACCCCGAAUUUUUGAGAAAGAGAUUGCAACAUUUAAUGUGUUUGAGAUUCCGCUUUUCAACGACUUGAAGGAUACCCCUGAUGAGCAAUGGGUCAGGACAAUCGAUUUCACACCAUUCUGCCUUAUUGGGCAUUCAUCUGGAUUAUGUUUGGAGUUUCCUUCCAGCAUUAAUGUUCCAAAAUUUCAGGAGAACUUUUCUUACUAUAAAGAAAGUGAAGGAAUUUUUGUUUUGGAGAAUGGCAAUGCUUUUUCUCGCAAUCUGGAUCUAGUUCCGAUUGUUGGUCCUCCCUCAGGCGUUGAUUUGCCAUUUGAGAUAUUAUUUCGAGUUAAUUUGUUGGUUCAGAAUGGGUGCCUUCCAGGGUCAGCACUUGAUUCUAGUUUUUACGAGUUGGUUGAUCCAAGUACAAUGAAUAUUGACUGCAUAGAGCAUGCUCUUAAGAAGCUUUUUCACUUGAAAGAAUGUUGUUAUGACCCUUCUAGGUGGCUUGAUGAGCAGUACAGAAAGUAUCUUAAGUCUAAGUGCCAUCCAAGAUCACCUUCGAUAUCCCUAGGCUCUGGUUUGGUAUACAUGCGUAGGGUCCAAAUUACACCAUGCAAAGUCUAUUUUUGUGGUCCAGAGGUUAAUGUCUCAAACCGUGUGAUACGCCACUAUUCAAAAGAUAUUAAUAAUUUUCUCCGUGUGUCUUUUGUUGAUGAGGAGUUAGAGAAAAUUUAUUCAACAGAUUUAUGUCCCCGUGCUUCUUCUGGGAAUGGGGAUAGGAGGACUGCUAUUUACAAAAGGAUUCUCUCUACUCUCCAAAAUGGAAUAGUUAUUGGAAAUAAAAGGUUUGAGUUCCUUGCCUUUUCAUCUAGCCAGCUGAGGGAAAAUUCUUGCUGGAUGUUUGCUUCAAGAGACGGGCUCACUGCUGCAGAUAUAAGAGAAUGGAUGGGAAACUUUCGUCAGAUACGAAACGUGGCUAAAUAUGCAGCCAGAUUAGGUCAGUCUUUUGGUUCAUCCACUGAAACACUGAGUGUUAGUAGAAAUGAAAUUGAAAUUCUUCCAGAUGUAGAGGUUGAAAGGGGCAGAACCAAAUAUUUGUUCUCUGAUGGAAUAGGCAAAAUAUCUGCUGAGUUCGCUCGGAGAGUGGCGUUGAAAUGUGGGCACCAAGGUUUCUAUCCAUCUGCAUUUCAAAUUCGUUAUGGUGGGUAUAAAGGUGUUGUGGCUGUUGAUCCAACUUCUUCUAAAAAAUUAUCAUUGAGAGAAAGCAUGUGCAAGUAUGAGUCUGAAAAUACAAAACUGGAUGUUUUGGGUUAUAGCAAGUAUCAGCCUUGUUUUCUGAAUCGCCAAAUGAUUACUCUUCUUUCGACCCUUGGUGUUGCGGACCAUAUCUUUGAGAAGAAACAGAGAGAAGCUGUUGAUCAACUAGAUGCCAUUUUAACAAACUCGUUAAGGGCCCAAGAAGCACUAGAUUUGAUGUCUCCAGGAGAGACCACUAACAUUCUCAACGAAAUGCUUUUGUGUGGUUAUCAGCCUGAUGCUGAACCAUUCCUUUCAAUGAUGCUCCAAAUGUUCCGAGCAUCAAAGUUGCUUGAUCUGCGGACAAAAUCUAGAAUCUUUGUUCCAAAUGGAAGAUCUAUGAUGGGAUGUUUGGAUGAGACAAGAAACUUGGAAUAUGGCCAGGUAUUUGUGCAAUUUUCUGGUAGUAAACAUAAGCAGGUGUAUGAUAGUUCCACCAUGGUUGGAGGCAUUGGAUCAGGCAACGGUUUUGUGAUUGAGGGAAUGGUCAUUGUAGCUAAAAACCCAUGUCUGCACCCAGGUGAUAUUCGUGUUUUAAGGGCUGUGAAUGUACCAGAUUUGCACCAUAUGGUGGACUGUGUUGUUUUUCCACAGAAAGGACCAAGGUAUAUCUCUGUCUCUUCCAGCCUUAUAGCUUAGGUCAUUCUUUAGUUACGUCAAUUUGGUUUCUGGUUUGAGUUGUCUGUGCCGAAGUUCUAUAUUUAUAACUUAGAGUUCUUAGAUUUACUUUUCCAGUUGCAUUUGCAAAGGGUUCAGAUUUGAAAAAUAUAAAAAUCCCUGCUUUUUUCAUGCAAGACAGAGGAAUUUACCUUUUAUCAAAAGAGAACUUGGAAAUAUGCUCUCUUCUUGUCUACUUUCCAAUAUCAUUUCUCUAUUCUCCAAUGGGCUCUGAACCACAAAGUCCCAACUUUAAAGAUAGCUGGACUCAGUUAUAUAAGAAUGAGAGAGGGAUAGAAAGUUGUGUAUGUGCAGCUAUGUUCCUAUAGAUGUUUAAGUUCUUAUCUUCUGGGUGUCUUUCACAGCGGAUUGAACCUUAUAAUAUCAUUGUUGUUAUUGUAGUUAAUCAUUAUUGCUGUUAUUAUGAUGUUCGCUGUCCAUGUUAUCAUCAUCUAUAUGAUAGUUCUACUUCUGUUGUGUCUGCCUAUGUUUGGGCUAUUUUGGCCUACUUCUGUGGUAUUACUGUAGGAAACUAGUUGGGUUGUGAGAUAACUAGGUCUGUCACAUCAGCUAUAAUGAAUUCUUUUCUGUAAGAUAACCACUCCCUUCAAUGAAUGUAACUGGUAUCUGUGUUCCCUUUUAUUAUUUGACAUGUGCAGUAGGCUUCUUGUGGAUAACAGUCGAACGUACCAAUGGAAACUCCUGCUUCCUUAGAAAUACCUAGUCUAUAUUCUGUGGACAUUGCUUCAUCAUCUCUGAUUUAUUUGUCUGAUGAAGCUGACUGACAGAGGCAGGUUGUUAUUAUUGUUUCUAUUUUUUUUUUUUUGUGGGGGGGCGGGGGUGGGAAAGAGAGUUUGGUGGUUGGAGGUUGCAGGGGGAAGACUCCUGUGCUUUGGAAUUUCAAUUGACACUAACAUGGACACCUCACCUCUCUUUGUUUUUCAAGUGCUAACAGAGUAACAGACUAGUAUUAUAGUGCCCCUUUUCAGAUUUUUAUUUUUAUUUUUAUUUUUUAUGUGUGAAAACAGUAUUAACAUUAGUAUCUGAAUUGCAAUUUUAGACCUCAUCCAAAUGAAUGCUCGGGUAGUGAUUUAGAUGGAGAUAUCUACUUUGUCUGCUGGGAUCCUGAUUUAAUCCCACGUCAGCAACUCCCACCAAUGGACUAUACACCACAGCCAAGUUUGCAACUCGAUCAUGAUGUCACAAUUCAGGUACUACAUGUGUACAUAUGAAAUGUCGGAGCAAUUAUCUAUCAUCAACAAUAAUACUAUUGUUUCGCUAUCUUUUAAGAUUAUUCAGUCACUUCAUCAAUUUUUUUCUCUUCUAUGGUACAUUCUGGUAUUGUCAAACAUAAAGCUGCAAUGCUUCAAAAAUACAUACGUUCCUUAAUUUUUUUUUCUUUAUGACAGAGGAUUUAGUUUUGUACAUAGGUUCAAUACUAAUAGGUGUUUACUUUUAAUUUUUGUUUUUCCUUGUGGUGCCUUUAUUUCUGUAUUAUGAUGACUUUACUCCACCUGCAUCUUUUAUGUGUCAAAAGUCUUUUUUUUUUUCUGGAUUAGUUUGCUCUUAUGUGUCUAUAGCAUAUGCUAAUAGACAUGCAUAUGGAUUUUUCUUAUUAUAUAAAGCAAGAAUUUACACAAUUUACAAGAAAAAUAAGAAGCAGAUGGAAAGGGAAUUGCUGAUUAUCUUGUUUUCUGAAUCUCAGGGAAGCUGCAAAAGCAAACUUUGGCCCGGGCCUUUUUAAUUUAUGUGACAAUGAUAUCUUGUACUUUUUAAUUCUUUUAGCUAUCUCAUUUGUGCAAUUUUAAGCAAAAAUCUAACUGUUUUUUUUGGUCCCUCUGGGCACAAUGCUUCAUUUUUGUGUAAAAGUGGAUGCUUCAAACUACAACGCAAUGUAGUUCAGUCCAAGAGGGUCAUUAUUCUAUCAACCUCAUAACUAGUCCUUUUUUUGAAUGCUUAAAAAAAAAAUAAAAAAUAAAAGGAAAUGUGAUUCUGAAAAAUCCUUUAGAACAGUGAAAUCUUAGGUUGUGUACCUGUAUGCAUCAAGUUCUAACUGCAAACUCUGUUUUUUGCUUUAGCUUGAUUUUUUUUUUUUUAAUCAUGCAGCUAGAAAACCGCAUUUCCCUUUUAUUCAGAGAUUUUCAUUUUGCUUUCUACAGGAAGUUGCGGAGUAUUUCACCAAUUACAUCUUAAAUGACAGCUUGGGAAUCAUUUCUAAUGCUCACACCGUCUUUGCUGAUAGGGAACCUGAAAAAGCAAUGAGUAAACCAUGUCUGGAACUUGCAAGUAAAUUUUCAAUUGCAGUUGAUUUUCCAAAAACUGGAGUACCAGCUGAAAUUCAUUCUCAUCUACGUGUCAAAGAAUAUCCUGAUUUCAUGGAAAAGCCUGACAAACCCACCUAUGAAUCUCAGAAUGUGAUUGGAAAGCUUUUCCGAGCAGUGAGAGACAUCGCACCACAUACAAGCUCUAUUAAGUCCUUUACUUUGGAAGUGGCAAGGCAGUGUUAUGACCCUGAUAUGGAAGUUGAUGGUUUUGAGGAUUAUAUAGAUGAUGCCUUCUAUUACAAAACGAAUUAUGAUUACAAAUUGGGUAAUCAUAUGGACUAUUAUGGCAUCAGAACUGAGGCUGAAAUUCUCGGUGGAAGUAUUAUGAAAAUGUCAAAAGCUUUCACCAAGAAAAGGGACGCAGAAGCAAUUGGUUUGGCGGUGAGGUCCUUAAGAAAAGAAGCAAGAUCUUGGUUUAAAGAAAGGGGAAGUGGAUUAGAUUCUGAAGAAGAUGAUGUUUAUGCAAAAGCCUCCGCUUGGCACUAUGUUACUUAUCAUCCUAGUUAUUGGGGGCGCUACAACGAGGGAAUGAAUCGAGAUCAUUUUCUUAGCUUUCCUUGGUGUGUUUAUGACAAGCUGAUCCAGAUCAAGAGGAAGAGAAGGUGUCAACAUUUAUCAUCGCUUGAACGCCAGUUUGGGCUUCGACUGCGUUUUCAUUAACAAAUCUGAAAUUUCGAACAUGUCUUUAUGUUCGUAGUCUUGGUUUGAGUUUGCCAGCUAAUCCAGAUCAGCGGAACAAAUCAAGGAUCAACCAGGUUCCUACUUUUUUCUCUUUACACAUUUUCCAUGUAGAUGUGGACUGCUUUUGAGUUUAGAAGGUAAUCAAAAUAUAUGGCUAUACAUAUGGUUAUGAAUAUGUAAUAUUUCAAAGACAAUAUAUGAUGUAAAUGUUUAUGUUCUUAUAAUGGCACAAACAGAAAUACCUACUUAGAGUUGACAACAUUUUUUGAUAGGAUAUUGAAGACUAUUGAUAUUUGCCUGAUUGUUGAUGCAUUAUCCAUAUUUAGGUGUUAUAUAGCCUUUUCGAGAUACAUGCUAUUCUAGUCGAGCAUGAUCGGUGUUUGUUUUUCGCUGCAAAUAAUGGGUACUGAUAAUUUGAAUGUUUAACAACAUUUAUUAGUCAGUUUUUCUGGUAUGUAUAAUAAAAGCUGCACUGCUAAUUGUUGAUAUGAUAGCUUUUGAUUAUAGCGAUUUUCGUUUCAGAAUAACAGUUAAUUGAGAUCCUUUUCCAUUGCUUGAAAAUAACGAGGGCGUAGCUUCAUGCAUUCUCUCGAGGAACCGUUCUAACAAUUCAUUAACAAUCUCAGCUCCAAAGCGCUUGGUAAUGACUGGUUCUAACCCAGAUUUGAAAUGCAUCAUGAUUGUAUAUUCAGUAGGUUGAUUAUCAGGGUCGCAUUCGCAAUCUGUAGGAUCCAUUCUUCCAAUGCUAAAACACCCACUUUGUUCUAUAAGCUGUGUAAGCUCCUUGGGCGUUACACAGNNNNNNNNNNUCACAUAUUAAUCCCUGCAAUCAGGAUUUUGAUUUGGUUAUUUACAUGUUUUAAAUUUUCAUGGGGUUUCACUGUUAUCGUUAAUAUUUAACUUUUCAAACUGUUAUCGUUAAUAUUUAACUAUUGACCAACUAUCAUUAAAAGCUGAUUUUCCAUUGCCGAAUCAAGCAGACCCCUAAAUCUAUGAUUUCAUAUAAUCCACCAGUCUAGUAGGUUUCUAUAUUAUUACCUCUUUUGCCAUGUCCAGAAGGCACGACCCAAAAUGAUUCAGCAAUACCCCGGUUGGUACAUUUGACGGAGAGACCCCAUCAGGAAUAGAAGGAAUGAUUAGCACCAUCAUGCUCCCCUCUGCAAAUUCUUUUGCUCUGGCAUUCAUGAACAUCCCCAUAUCCUUGCUAAAUUGGGCGGCAAAGGCUUUUACUACUGCUUCUGAUGCACCUGUAUAGUGAACUCUCCCUCCGUUCCGUGCAGGAGAGUCCAUGUCCAACACCACUGCAGGAACGCCAGAAAGCCAAUGUAAUGUGUAAGAGGAAUGCACAAAAUGGAGAGAAGAGUCAGGAAACAACUGGGUAUGAUAUGACCCUGGUACCCCUGCUGUAAAAUAUUUCCUUUGAGGUGGGAGAGACUUGAAAAGGGUAUUAAAGUCGUUAAAUGGAAGAUCAUUAAAGAAAACUUGAAACUGAGGUAUUUGAUCGUAAGUGAAGCCUUCAUUUAUGAACUUUCGCUCCACAGCUUCAAGUAUACUAUGAACAUAGUAAAAGGUGUUUGGUCCUGUUGAACAUCCCAUAUCAGCUAUACAAAAUGCCUUGCUACAUGAAGUUGAUAAAAAUGACUUCGUUUCAAGCUUCUCAUGGAUUGUCUCAUCAAUUAUUCCCUUCAAGAAUUCCAGAAUCCAUUUCUGCAAAAACGACUUUGAGCCAAACUUAAUUUUUGAUAAAAAAAUUGAUAAAAUUAGUAAUUUCUAUAUGAUGUAUUUCAACAUUUUUUCAAUAUCUUACAAGUAAUCAUGGACACGGGUUAAUAUUUAAAAUUUUGCAAAUAAAAAAUUAUGAAACCUCAAUAAAUCAAAGUUUCUAAAAAAUAAAUUUUACUUUUUCAGUUUUAAAAUAUUUUUAUUUUUAUUUCAAAAUUAAUAUCAGUAAAAAUAUAAUAAACUGUGGUUUUAUCCAUAACAACUAAUUUUUAUUUUUAAACAAUUUUUUCAUAAAAAUUUAUGAUUUAUUCUAAAAUAAUUUUUUUAAUUGAAAAUAAUUGUAUACUUUUCUAAACACAUAAAAGUUAAUUCCUUAUUAGUUUCUGAAAAAAAAAAUUCCUUAUUACUUUUCUUGGAAUAAUUUCAAGCCUCCAACCUUGACAGUUCCCAAGGAGGCAGGACAAUCGGAGGAAGACGAUGAAGAAAGGGUCAGAGAAAGAAAGCUUAAGGGCAUCAUUUGUUAUUUUAAAAUAAUUCUCUCCUCCCUCUUUUUUUUUUUUUUCAUCUUUUAACGGAAAACUCAUAUAUGUUUUUGACGGAAGCACAGAGACGGAAUCAAAUCUUGGAGACUAAAUGUUUAAUAUACAAUGAUUGGAGAACAAGAUAAUUAAUUUUGUAAAACCUCAAAUUAUAAUAAUUAUUUUCCAAAAAAAAAAAUCGUUGCAUCUUCUUAAGAAACCGGUCAAACAAUUCAUUUGCAAUCCCACUUCCAAAAUGUUUGCUAAUACUUCCUUCCAGUGCAGCUCUCCAGUGCUUUGUCAAUGUUUUUCCGUUGGUCAUAACAUCAAUAGCCGAAAAAGCUUUAAAUAACUCAAUUCUCUCAAUAAUGAAGCAACUGUUUCUUUUUACAAGUUCUGUCAUCUCCUUAGCAGAUGGAAUAUAAAUGGGGAGAUUGAACGAGUCCACUUGCACUUCUCUCACCAAUCCCUGUGCAUGUUUAAACAAAAAUGGAUUAAUUACAAUGGAGAAUUUCUUUAUGGGCGAGCUAUAACUUGUAAGGUCAUGAAUUUGAAUUGAAACAUUCAAAAAUAAGGGUAAGAUGCAAACAAUGGAGUACCUCCCAAAACCAUAUAAUAAGAUGCACAAAGAUAUCAAAUUUUACAAUAAGAUUACAGUAUGAUGAAGUAUAAUUGUAAUAACUGAUAUAAUUAAAUGUAUUUUUAGUAUAAUCACGAGUUCUCAAACUGACCUCUCUAGCCAUGUCCAUGAGGCUAGAUCCCAGAAUAUCAAACGACACAUUAAAUAUUCACAAGAAUGAGAAAUCCCAUCAGGGAUAGUUGGCACCACGAUUAAUAUAAUCCCACCAACCACAAGCUCUUUGGCUCUAGCAUCCAAAAAUAUCUCCAUAUCCUUUUCGAACUGGGUGGCAUNNNNNNNNNNNNNNNNNNNNNNNNNNNNNNNNNNNNNNNNNNNNNNNNNNNNNNNNNNNNNNNNNNNNNNNNNNNNNNNNNNNNNNNNNNNNNNNNNNNNNNNNNNNNNNNNNNNNNNNNNNNNNNNNNNNNNNNNNNNNNNNNNNNNNNNNNNNNNNNNNNNNNNNNNNNNNNNNNNNNNNNCCCCUGUAUGGAUGUAGAGAUCUAAAUAGAGCAUUGAAAUCCUUCAAGACAUGAUCAUUGAAGAACACUUGAAAUUCAGGAAUUCGUGAAGCAAGACCUUGAGAUUGACACUUAUAUUUCACUGCCUCAAUAAUAUUUCCCAUGCAAAUAAAGGUAUUUGCCCAACUGAACAUCCCAAAUCCGCAAUAUUAAAUGAGCUUGAAGAACCAAAAAGGAGAUCUUUUAUGUUAAGAUUAUGAGCAAUUGUCUCAUCAAUCAAUCUUUUGGCAGUAUUAAUGGCUUCUCUCUGCAAAUGAAGAUCAAAUAAUGAGAAAAAACAGUCUUUUAAACAUUUUCUCUAAUAUAUAAAAUCAAUACCUGAAAGAAGGAAUUUUUGUGGUAGCUGUAGUCAGCAUCUCCUCCUUUCAUUGGAUAUGAUUCAGCCAUUGUCUCUGUAUAAGCUAUGCAAUGACGAUGGUGGGAAUUCAAAAACCCAACCUGCUCUUAUAUGCUCAUUAAUAGAAUUUUCGCAAUCUUGUCUUCGUUAUUACCAAAAUUUGGUGCUGAAACAGAUUGCAGAUGGCAAUGACGGUAACAACUUCAUCAUCACUGACAUCAUGAACCAUCCAGAACUUGUUGAAUAAUUAUACUCUCCAGAAGUUGUUGAAUAAUCUUAGUAGGAAAAUGCAGAAGACAUAACUUUAUUACUAGACUUUUAUCACUGUCGAUUAAUCCAACCGUGACUGGUCUAGUGUAGUCGGUAAGUAUUCUUAGACAAAGUUAGAAAUUAAACUGAACGCACUAACGGUUGAGCGAAUCAGAAGAAAAUAAAAAUCAAAAUGAAAAGCAAAAUAAUUUGAAUAAAAUAAAUAAAUCAACAAAAAUAGCCAUGGCUAUAUGAGAGGAUUUGAGAGAUUCGGUGGGGUUGUUGAGAUGGUUUAAUUCAAAAAUUAAAAAUGUUGCUGAUAGAUAAGGUUGUUCGAUAACUUUUACUUAUGCACUAUUUCAAAAUAAAAUUUUGAUCAUAUGAAAAACAAAAAUUUCAAGAUCUAUAUGUUAGCCUCCUUUGUUGAAAACAAAAGAAAAAAAAAAAAAAGUUUAGCUCAAUCCCGCACCAGGGAGAUGAGCUUUUGAGGGUGGUGAAUUGGCUAUAAAUGGAAGCCAAGGUUUAGGUUUCUAAACACUCUAAAAACACUUGAAUGAAUGUGUUUUAUAUUAGGGAUUUAGAGCUAAGUCUUUUGAAAUCCCUUGUAAUAUAAAAUAUUUGGGGUGUUUUGAGGGUGUCGGGUAGAAAAAUAUUUUGUAAUUGUGAUUGUAAUAAUUUGCCGCAUAGUGAAUAUUUUUCUUGGUUGUCGUUUGGCAACGGCCGUNNNNNNNNNNNNNNNNNNNNNNNNNNNNNNNNNNNNNNNNNNNNNNNNNNNNNNNNNNNNNNNNNNNNNNNNNNNNNNNNNNNNNNNNNNNNNNNNNNNNNNNNNNNNNNNNNNNNNNNNNNNNNNNNNNNNNNNNNNNNNNNNNNNNNNNNNNNNNNNNNNNNNNNNNNNNNNNNNNNNNNNNNNNNNNNNNNNNNNNNNNNNNNNNNNNNNNNNNNNNNNNNNNNNNNNNNNNNNNNNNNNNNNNNNNNNNNNNNNNNNNNNNNNNNNNNNNNNNNNNNNNNNNNNNNNNNNNNNNNNNNNNNNNNNNNNNNNNNNNNNNNNNNNNNNNNNNNNNNNNNNNNNNNNNNNNNNNNNNNNNNNNNNNNNNNNNNNNNNNNNNNNNNNNNNNNNNNNNNNNNNNNNNNNNNNNNNNNNNNNNNNNNNNNNNNNNNNNNNNNNNNNNNNNNNNNNNNNNNNNNNNNNNNNNNNNNNNNNNNNNNNNNNNNNNNNNNNNNNNNNNNNNNNNNNNNNNNNNNNNNNNNNNNNNNNNNNNNNNNNNNNNNNNNNNNNNNNNNNNNNNNNNNNNNNAUUCACUGUGGUUGCAACUUAGUCUGAUCUUCCACAUCAGAAAUACUGUUGUUAGAAAUUAUUUUAUUUUAAAAGCAGGUGGAGUUUUGGAAGUCUUGAAGUGAGUGGAGCUUUGUUUUGGUGUGCUCGAGUACCGGUGGUGAAGGUCCUGACGAUAGUUAUUGAAGUUAUUCUGGUACGAAAAUUCUGAUAAUAUACCGUGCACGUAACUUCUGUCUAGAAGGCCGGAUUUUAAGUGGGACCACUUGUGACCCCUCCGUCCAACUGAGAUUUUACGUGGAAUGGUAAUNNNNNNNNNNNNNNNNNNNNNNNNNNNNNNNNNNNNNNNNNNNNNNNNNNNNNNNNNNNNNNNNNNNNNNNNNNNNNNNNNNNNNNNNNNNNNNNNNNNNNNNNNNNNNNNNNNNNNNNNNNNNNNNNNNNNNNNNNNNNNNNNNNNNNNNNNNNNNNNNNNNNNNNNNNNNNNNNNNNNNNNNNNNNNNNNNNNNNNNNNNNNNNNNNNNNNNNNNNNNNNNNNNNNNNNNNNNNNNNNNNNNNNNNNNNNNNNNNNNNNNNNNNNNNNNNNNNNNNNNNNNNNNNNNNNNNNNNNNNNNNNNNNNNNNNNNNNNNNNNNNNNNNNNNNNNNNNNNNNNNNNNNNNNNNNNNNNNNNNNNNNNNNNNNNNNNNNNNNNNNNNNNNNNNNNNNNNNNNNNNNNNNNNNNNNNNNNNNNNNNNNNNNNNAUUAUAAGCAAAAAUAAGCAUGUUGGCUAUGAGAGGUAAGAUUGAGAAAUUUGACGAGAGCUCUUUAAAAAAAAAGAAAUUUGACGAGAGAAUGAAUUUUGCACUGUGGCAAGUGCAAGUCAAAGACGUGUUGAUUCAGUCUGGACUGCAUAAGGUUUUGCAAGAUAAACCAGUCAGCGGAAAGAAUUCAGGAAAAGAUAGUGGUAGUAGAGACUUAGAAAAAUCCAAGAUUAGCGAUGAAGAAUGUGAGGAGCUGGAUAUCAAAGCGGCAAGUCAAAUUCGCAUGUGUCUAGCAAAAAAUGUUCUUGGAUUGUCCACGACAAAGGAGUUGUGGGGAAAACUGGAAGAAUUAUACUAGGGAAAAAAUAUAUCCAACAGGUUAUAUUUGAAUGAGCAAUUUCAUAUGUUGAAAAUGACAGAAGGUACAAAGCUAUCAAAUCACCUGAGUGUUCUUAACGGUAUCAUCUCUGAAUUGAAAACUCCUGGAGUGCAAACCGAAGAUGAAGAUAAAGCUCUUCGACUCAUCUUGUCACUUCUUUCGACAUGUGAGCAUAUGAAACACGUGACUAAAAUUUGGUUAAGCCCUUCAACUCAAUGAGUUUUAUUCAUUAAACCUUUAAAUUUUAAUUUAUUGACUGUAAAAAAAGAUCCGUUAGUAAUAUGACACACGUGACUAAAAUCAAAGCAUAAAAGACAAGGAUGCUUGAUUAUCAUUCCUUCAGAAAAAAGUCAAGUCUCUCGUUCACAAUUUUCUUAUCAACAUUGACAUUCUUACGAGUGUCGCAGACUUAUUUAACAUUGAAAAGCUAGUCUUGCACGUGUGAACAAGAAAACUUUAGACAGAAAAUGACUUUUAAAUCAGACUACAUCACAGAAGAUCGAACAUUACACACGUUUCAGAGCCAAAAAUACUUGAAAAGCUUAAGUUAAGCUGGCCUGCACCUGGGAGGAAAAUUCUUGCAUCUUCUUAAGAAACCGAUCAAACAAUUCAUCUACAAUCCCACUUCCAAAAUGUUUGCUAAUAAUUCCUUCCAAUGCAGCUCUCCAGUGCUUUGUCAAUGUUUUUCCGUUGGUCAUAACAUCAUUAGCCGAAAAAGCUUUAAAUAACUCAAUUCCCUCAAUAAGGAAGCAACUGUUUCUUUUUACAAGUUCUGUCAUCUCCUUAGCAGAUGGAAUAUAAAUGGGAAGAUUGAACGAGUCCACUUGCACUUCUCUCACCAAUCCCUGUUCAUGUUUAAACAAAAAUGGAUUAAUUACAAUGGAGAAUUUCUGUAUGGGCGAGCUAUAACUUGGAAGGUCAUGAAUUUGAAUUGAAACAUCAAAAAAUAAGGGUAAUAUGCAAACAAUGGAGAACCUCCCAAAGCCAUAUAAUAAGAUGCACAAAGAUAUCAAAUUUUACAAUAAGAUUGCAGUAUGAUGAAGUAUAAUUGUAAUAACUGAUAUAAUUAAAUGUAAUUUUAGUAUAAUCAGGAGUUCUGAAACUGACCUCUCUAGCCAUGUCCAUGAGGCUAGAUCCCAGAAUAUCAAACGACGCAUUAAAUAUUCACAAGAAUGAGAAAUCCCAUCAUGGAUAGUUGGCACCACGAUUAAUAUAAUCCCACCAACCACAAGCUCUUUGGCUCUAGCAUCCAAAAAUAUCUCCAUAUCCUUUUCGAACUGGGUGGCAUAUGCUUUGCAUACUUCAUCUGAGGCAUUAGUGUAGAAAAUUCUGCCCUUGUUCCAAACAGGAGAGUGGUUAUUUAGAAUCUCUUCUGGCAUCUGAGAUAGCCAAUGCAAUGAAGUGGAAGUAUGCAUUAGAUGAAGAGAGGACCUGGGGAAUAAACGCCCAUGGAAGAAUGAACCUGGCACGCCAGCAGCAAAGUAUCCCCUGUUUGGAGGGAGAGAUCUAAAUAGAGUAUUGAAAUCAUUCAAGACAUGAUCAUUGAAGAACACUUGAAAUUCAGGAAUUGGGGAAGCAAGACCUUGAGAUUGACACUUAUAUUUCACUGCUUCAAUAAUAUUUUCCAUACAAAUAAAGGUAUUUGGCCCAACUGAACAUCCUAAAUCCGCAAUGAACUUGAAGGACCAAAAAUGAGAUCGUUUAUGUUCAGAUUACGAGCAAUUGCCUCAUCAAUCAAACUUCUAGCAUUAUCAAUGACUUCCCUCUGCAAAUAAAGAUCAAAUAAUGCAAAAAAAAAAAAAAACUUUAUAUAUAUUCCUUUGAGCAUUUUCUCUAACGUACAAAAUGAGUACCUGAAAUGAGGAAUUGUUUGAUUAGCUGUUGUGGUCAUCUCCUCCUUUCAUUGGAUAUGAUUCCACCAUUGACAUUGUGGCUGUGCUUUGGCUCGUUGUCUCUGUAUAAGCUAUGGGAUGGGGGGGGGGAGAAUUUUCGCAUCUUAUCUUUUUUUACAUGUAUUAAUAUAAAAAAACUGUGUUAAAAAAUUAGUGUAAAAAGGGUUGUAGCCAUAAAGAGUGGGGGUUUGAUUCAAACUGAAUCAAAUCAAGGCAAAGAAUACUAACCGCAGGUUUUUGGACAAUAGAUCAAAUCAAACUGAAAUUGGUAUCUGUAUCAAAUCAAACCAGUUGGUUUAACCGGAUUUAGUCUGUUGCCAUAUCGAUUCAAUUUUAAGUUAAUUGAUAAAUUUCUAUGAAACUGACUUGAACCAAGUAAUAAAUUCGGUUUCAACCAAAUAAGCUGACAAAUUCGAUUCAAGUCAAUCACUGAUCAAACAAAAUCAGAAUGUGUAGGUUUAGUUUAAGAUUCGAUUAAGUCGGUAAUUUUCCACAUCACUAGUAAAGAGUGGAAUUUUAAAACUUUGAAAAAAUAAACUAUUUUAUUUUUCAUAUAAAUCAAAGUGAUUUAAUCACUUUGAUUUAUAUGAAAAAUAAAAUAGUUAAUCUUUUCAAAGUUUUAAAAUUUAUAUUUAUAAAAUAAUUAAAAGUAAUCAAUUUAAUAUUAAAAAAAAAAAACUAAUCAAUUUAUUUGAUAUCAAGCCGAUAUUAGAACCUUGAUAAGUUUAAAGUUUCCGAAACCUAUAAUAAGCAUAACAUGCUGAAAGACAACCAACCCAACGUAAUAACAGCUAGCCUACUAGAUAAUAAUUUCAUCAUAAAUGUCGGACCAUUCAUGUCCAUAUAAUAACCAAACAUUAACAUUAACCAAUGUUGCGUUUAUGUCCUUUUAUAAAUUCUUUUGCCUAACUAUUAUUAAUAUUUUUAUAAAUUAAUAUUAGCUUGGCUAACAGAUAUGGUAGCAACAGCAAUAAAAACCAGCUAUUCUCUAAGUGCAUAAUUUCAUAAAAAAAAAUUACAAACCAUGUGCGGAAUUAGGUAAGCAUAGAGAUCUUCUCCGUUCACAUGAUAGAAUAAUCAAACAUUUUGCUUGAGGGACCUGAGCUCUUUCCACUCAAAUCAAUCCGUUGGUUUUAUUGGACUUUCAAUGUUAUAAUAGGAUUUUAAUAUUUAUUCAAAUAUAUAAUCUCUCCUAUCUACACAAUUUUAUUAUCAAUAUCAACUAUUACAGUGUGUUGCUGACAAUUUUAACAUUGAGAAGCAGGUCUUGCCCAUAUCAACAAGAAAACUUUAGAAACAAAAUAUGCUUGUAAAUUAGAAUACAUCACAGAGAAUUGAUAACGAACGUUUUAGAGCAAGAAAUACUUGAGAAGUUUCUGCUAAGCUGGCCUGCAACUUGGGAGACAAUUCUUGCGUCUUCUUAAGAAACCGAUCAAACAAUUCAUCUAUAAUCCCACUUCCAAAAUAUUGGCUAAUAAUUCCGUCCAAGCCAGCUCUAAAGUGCUUUGUCAGUAUCAAAACCAGAUAAAAACUUGUAUGAUUCAAUUCUCUCAAUAUUGAAACAUCUGUUUCUUUCUACAAGUUCUAUCAUCUCCUUAGCAUGCGGAAUAUACAUGGGCAGAUUAAAAGAGUCCACUUGUGCUUCACUCACCAAUCCCUGGUUAAAACAAAAAUCAAUUAAUAAGGUUACUUUGCAAUAAGGUUAUUUUGGUUCUUGAUAGCGAAUUGAAACUGGUGAAAUCGAAUGUAUUUUUAGUAUAAACAUGAGUUCUUAGGCUGCCCUUUUUAGCCAUAUCCAUGAGGAUAGAUCCUAGAAGAUCAAACAACACAUUACAAGAUUCACAAGAAUGAGAAAUCCCAUCGGGGAUGGUUGGCACCAUGAUCACAACAAUCCCACCAACCACAAGCUCUUUAGCUCUAGCAUCUAAAAAUAUCUCCAUAUCCUUUGCGAACUGGGUGGCAUAUGCUUUGCAUACUUCAGCUGAGGCAUUAGUGUAGAAAAUUCUGCCCUUGUUCCAAGCAGGAGAGUUCUUUUCUAGAAUCUCUUCUGGCACCUGAGAUAGCCAAUGUAAUGCAGUGGAAGUAUGAAUGAAAUGAAGAGAGGACCUGGGGAAUAAACGGCCGUGGAAUGAACCGGGCACACCAGCAGCAAAAUAUCCACUUUCUGGAGGCAGAGAUCUAAAUAGGGUAUUGAAAUCAUUCAAGACAUGAUCAUUGAAGAACACUUGAAAUUCAGGAAUUCGGGAAGCAAGACCUUGAGAUUGACACUUAUAUUUCACUGCCUCAAUAAUAUUUCCUAUGCAAAUAAAGGUAUUUGGCCCAACUGAACAUCCCAAAUCCGCAAUAUUAAAUGAGCUUGAAGAACCAAAAAGGAGAUCUUUUAUGUUAAGAUUAUGAGCAAUUGUCUCAUCAAUCAAUCUUUUGGCAGUAUUAAUGGCUUCUCUCUGCAAAUGAAGAUCAAAUAAUGAGAAAAAACAGUCUUUUAAACAUUUUCUCUAAUAUACAAAAUCAAUACCUGAAAGAAGGAAUUUUUGUAGUAGCUGUAGUCAGCAUCGCCUCCUUUCAUUGGAUAUGAUUCAGCCAUUGUCUCUGUAUAAGCUAUGCAAUGACGAUGGUGGGAAUUCAAAAACCCAACCUGCUCUUAUAUGCUCAUUAAUAGAAUUUUCGCAAUCUUGUCUUCGUUAUUACCAAAAUUUGGUGCUGAAACAGAUUGCAGAUGGCAAUGACGGUAACAACUUCAUCAUCACUGACAUCAUGAACUAUCCAGAACUUGUUGAAUAAUUAUACUCUCCAGAAGUUGUUGAAUAAUCUUAGUAGGAAAAUGCAGAAGACAUAACUUUAUUAUUAGACUUUUUAUCACUGUCGAUUAAUCCAACCGUGACUGGUCUAGUGUAGUCGGUAAGUAUUCUUAGACAAAGUUAGAAAUUAAAGGGAACGCAACAAGUCCCUUCAACUGGUUUAUUUUUCAACACUAACGGUUGAGCGAAUCAGAAGAAAAUAAAAAUCAAAAUGAAAAGCAAAAUAAUUUGAAUAAAAUAAAUAAAUCAACAAAAAUAGCCACGGCUAUAUGAGAGGAUUUGAGAGAUUCGGUGGGGUUGUUGAGAUUAUUUAAUUAAAAAAUUAAAAAUGUUGCUGAUAGAUAACAUUAACCGUUCGAUAACUUUUACUUAUGUACUAUUUCAAAAUAAAAUUUUGAUAAAAUGAAAAAGAAAAAUUUCAAGAUCUAUACUGCCACACCACUAAGCCUUAAUUUUUCACAGAAAUUGUGAUGAGGAUAUCGGAGAAGCAACUCAAGAAGCAGCGUCUUGUUAAACAUUUCGACAUUUUUCCAAAAAGGAUUAUUCUGUGACUGAGGACACAAGCUCACUCCAAAAGUUUAUUCUCUUGUUCUUUUUUUUAGGGUCAAGUUUGAACUAUACAUGAAAGCCGAUUCCACCUCUCAUUCACUAGCAAGUUAAGGAAUUGAUUCUCCAUGGGAAGCAUAAUUAGUGAGAAAUAGUUAUUCUGGGCCAAUCCUGUUGCCUCCAAGAGCGAGCGGGAAUUAAUUAGAUCUGUGGAUCGUCAAAACGGAUACGGGAAGUGGAUCGUCAAAACGGACACGGACUGAAUACUUCGUGUAGUACCUCAAUUUGACAAUUAACUUACGAAAGGGUUUUGGAUUGAUUGACAUAUGUUAUUUAAAUUUGUAACUAUAUUUUACAUUUUUUUUUUUUUGCCUGCUAUGUUUAAAUAGGAAUCUAAGUACAGACAAUUGAGAGAGUAAACUAAUAUUUUUAUUUUUCUUAUUUAUAAAAAACUAAAUAAAUCUAAGUAAUAUCAGUUACAAAUAAUUUCUUUUAAUAAAUUUCGCUUGCUUAAUAAAAAAUCUCAUAAAUAAAAUUUCUUUGUGUUAUUUAAAUUAAAGACAUAAAAUGAGUAAACUAGCCAUCCUAUUCCUUCCCUUGUAGGAAUCGGAGAUUGGCCACUUGAGCACUCAAAGCAAAAGCGCUUGAGUUGAGUUGAGUUGAGAAGGAUGGAUGAUUAAAAACGGCGUUAAGGUUUUAGCUAAGGUCGUCCACAUUUGAUAACUUCAUCUUCUACUUCACGAGGAAGUUUCAACUUUCAAAGGAUAAUUAUUUAAGGUAAAGACAAAGGUUCUCUCUUAGUGGGAAGCAAGAUGAGGUUCCUUCCUAGCAAUUAGCAAUGACAGAAAACCUUAUAUUCCUUUGUCCUUUCCAAGUUUCUUCUAUUUCCAUAAAAUACGUUAGCUUACUCUCUUAUCCAUGUAAAUCUCUAUAAUCCUGUAACAUUUAUAGUAAAAAUAUUUAAUAAAAUGCAAGUAAAACAAUUCAUAGUUAAAUGUUAUUAAAAUAACAAAAUUUACACCGUCUUUUUUAGAUGACUUUUUAAUAAAUUUUUAUUUAUUUAUUGAAAUACCUUAAUAUUUUAAAAAUUGUUACCUAUUAAAAAAUGUUAUUCAAAAUCUUCUAAAAGAAAAUUUUAUUCAAACUAAAAAAAUCACUCCUUUAACACUCUUUACAUUAGUUAAUGAGUUAUUUGUUUUAAUAGGAUACAAGUUACCUUAAAUGAUAAUUAAUCUAUUUCAACUAAGACAUGAAGGGGAAUGUUAGAAAAUCGUGAGUUAUCUAUUUUGAUAAAAAAAACUAGUUAUAAUCCUAGUGCUAUUUGAUACAUUUUUCUUUCUCAAAUAUUUAUUAUAUUUAGAUAUUUCACUUCUCAUAGUUAAGAAAAAUCAUUCAAUUUAUAAUAAAUUAUUCAGUGAAUUUAUUAUAUUACUUUUAAUUUUUUAUUUGAGUGAAAAUUAUUUAACUGCUAUUGAUCAUAUAUAAAGGUUAAAAAUGAAAUAAAUAAUUUAUUAUUUAUUAAAUUUUCAAAUGUGAUAAGUAUUUAGUGUAAUUUUUUUUAAAAUUGACAAAGUAUUUAGGGCAAUGGUUUUUAGGGUAAAAAUUCAAGAUUUGGAAAUGGCGACAUUUUUUGAAACUUGCAUGUAAGAUUGCAAGUGAUUGGAUAAAUUGGUAUCAGAGGCCGUGAUCUAUUUACGCAGGAGUGGUCCCAACAAACGGGACAAUAAUAUGGGCUUUCACUAUAGUGUAUCGGGACUAUAAAUAUUAUAUAAACACUAUCCAAUAGUUUUUAUCCACAUCAGCAAAUUCAAGCAAUGGGCGUCCGUUACUUACCGCGUUAACGUAUGUAGACGUCAUAAUAAACGUCAACCUACAAAGAGUGCUGCAUGGAGGGAAUCACGGCUUUUUUUUUCUUCUUGUGUACGAGGGCAACCCAGUGUCACAGAGAGACUUAAAUUGACUGAUUCGAGAAACAGGAGCGACAUGACAUGAAAAUUUGCUUGCUCAAAGACAGAGAGAGAGAGCGACUUGAAUGUGAAACUGUUUCUAUCGUUGGUUUCUGGUUUCUGGUUUCUUGGAUGAGAACUGAAGUGGUUUAAUUUGAGUGAGCAAGUGAUAAUUUGGUUUCUUUAUUUUACUUUUCUGGUAAGGUCUCAAACCUUUAUUUGAUUCUUUGAUUGCUUUCUUUCCAAGUAUAAUUUCCAGAAUGUGGGUACAUCCAUUAAAAAAAGUUUUCAUCCUUAUGCUAAAUUUUACUUUUUUUGGUAAUCUGUUUUCUCUUAAUUUUUAGAUAAAUGAGAUUGCUUUAUUAGCCUCUUUAGUGUAGUUGGCUUUGAUUCUGGAAUACAUAUAUUAUUGAUGAACUCUAUGAGUGUUUUGUGUUAUCAGAUUCGUAGUUGAUUUUUUUUUUUUUUUUUGGCAAUUCUGUAUUUUCUUUUACCAAUCUUCUUGUGAAAUUUACUUAGAAAUGGUGGUUCGGUUAUUUUAUUUAUGUCGGCUUGCAAUAGAUGGCAUAUAAUUGGAGCAUUGUGGCUAUAUCUGACAAGGAUCGAUGUGGUAUGGUUUUGGGUAAAGAUUAAUGAUGGAAGAGUAGAUAAAAGGAUAAACUUGUUAAUGAUACAAAAACCAUGCUUGGGUGCUGAACGCAAUUUUAGGUUUUUAGAUUGAGUGAUUUUCAGCUUUUAGCAGUUCUUGAUGAUAGAGUAGUUAUAAGCAUUGUUUUGUUUUUCUUAUUUAUUUCAUUGCAGUGUCAUCUAUUUUUUUUGACAUAAGCUAUAAAUUUCAUCACAUCAAUCUGAGUAAAAUGCUUGGCUUCUUUGUGCAUUCCAUUGUUUUUGUGUUAAAUGAAAUGCUAUUUUUUCUUGCCUCUGUUGCUUUCCACAUAGACUUUGUGUUUUCAAUGAUUCUAUUUAAUCUCGAAUAUUGAUUUCAUUUCAAAAUCAUUAUACUUCAGGUUGUGCUUAACAUGUAUUUGGUGCUAGAUUCUGGACAUGCGUGUAAACCCUUUGAUUCUCCACAUUUGUUCUGAGUUCAUAUUUAGAUGAUGCUGAUAUAAUUAUUCAUUAAGGAAGCCAUUGAUUGAAUUCAUAACCAGCACAUGGUGGAUCCUGCAUUAUUUUGCCAUAGUAGUUACAGAGUCAUAUUUGGAAGCUUGUGGGGGUCUGUUCAUAAUCAUGAAAUUUUUAUUUAUAAGUUAUUACCUUUCAUAUUUUCUACAUUGGAUUAGCUUUAUGAUUGACCGCAUGACAAUGCCUACAAGAAAGUCACACUCAGAAUCUUUGAUCAUUUACAUUGUGGAAGUGCUAUCUCCCUAAAAAUUUUGGAGUGUUGAUAUCUGUAGUGGGUGAUUCAGUUUGUUCUGUUUUGACUACAGAAUUGCUUUGAUGGGUAAGACAAUUCACGUGUAUGGAUUCCCUCCCGAUGUGACUGUAGAUGAAGUCAAGAAGUGUCUGGAAUCACAUUCAGGGGAUGGAACUGUUUUUGCAAUGAAGAUCAGGGAAACCAAAAAUGGGGGUCAAAGAAAAUAUGCUAUUGUUCAAUUCCAGACUGCCAGAGAUGCUGAAUUAAUUAUAUCUUUGAAUAAACGUAUUCGGUACGGCACUUCAUAUCUCAAGGCUCGGACUUUGGCUAAGGAUAUUGUACCAAAUCCCAGAACGUUUUUACACAGCAUGGACCAUAUAACACUGCAUUUUGGAUGUCGGAUAUCAAAAGAAAAGUUUUCUGUUCUAUGGACAGGGACAAAUGUUUCGGUGAAUUUUGGAUUUGGAUUGAGAAAAUUGCAAUUUUUUCUAUCUCAUGAACAAAUGGACUACAAGCUUGACCUUUCUUAUGAGAAUGUUUGGCAGAUCGAGCUACAUUGUCCACGAGGUCGAUCUGUGAAAUAUCUUCUAAUUCAGGUUUCUUCAAUAUAUUUUAUUUAAUUUUUGAAUUAUUAAAUACUGUUUCUUGAUACUCUUAUAGCUAUUUGAAAUUCUUUAUAGGGCUUUUUCGAACCUUGGAAAUGCCUUUUUUGCCUUGUUAUUUAUUGCACGGAUGAACUAUGUUUUCCUUUUACAUAAACCAACUGUGGAGCUGCAUGGUGGGCAUAGUGAUUAAAGGCGCAAGGGGCACCUAUGCGCAACGAGCUAUUGGAGCCUAGGUGCUAGCCUGAGUGAAGUGAGGCGCGAAAAUUAGAAAUAAAUAAAACACAUAAAUCUGAAAACUAUAUUUUAUAAAAAAAAGGAAAAAAAAAAAAAAAAAAGAAAAGCUUGGAAAGAAACACAUAAAUAGAAAAAAUGGCAACAAGACAAGUUAUAUUGUAAGAUAUUGGAGUUAAGAUAGAAAAGUAAAAUCAAGAAAUGAAAAAAAGAAAAAAAAAGAAAGAAAGAAUAUAGAAAGCAAAUUGGAAGAGAAAUUGAGAGAGGCAUGUCUGAAUGGCUGUUAGCCAAAGUCUAGACUGAAGGAGGUGAGUGCUAGAUGGAGUGGAGGCUGGAUCUAAAGCAUAUCAUUGGUUUUUGUGAUAUAAUGACAAAGGAUUCAUAUGCCCAACCUCAACUAGUUUGGGGUUAAGGCCUUUAUUGUUGUUAUGUUGUUGUAGUAGAUACUACAUUUUGUUCUUUUGUUGGAAUAAUAAGUUAUUCCAUCGAAAUUUUAUAUUGUUUACUGUUAAUUUUUAAUAAAAAUACAAAACUGCCAUUUGUCGUAUUUCUAAUGUACCUUUUUAUGCUAAAAGAAAAGCUAUUGUUUUUUAACACUCGAUACAUAAAGUCACUUUUGAAUUUUAUUAUUUUAAUCUUAUGACACCCUUAAUUUUUACUUUAAUCUAUUAAACACUUCAAUUUAUAAAAUUACACAUAUUAAAUACGGUAAUUUUUAAAUUUAUUUUAUUAAAUAAUUCAACUUGUAAAGUAAGAUUAAUUAAACACUCAUUAAAAAAUUAAAAUUUAAGAAAAUUAUUGUUCCAAAAGUCAAGUUAACUACAUGUCAAGUCUAAAUUUAAAAGAUAGAAGCCAAAACUCCUAAAAAUUAUUGAUAUUAGUGUCGAAAAGUGUGUAAUAUUAUUAAAAUUUAUAAUAGAUCAUCCGUAAAAUUCAGGGUGUCACAAUGUUAAAGUUGUAAGUUCUUGAGUGAAUUUAUAUAUUAUAGAACUAGAAAAUUAUUUUAUUAUAAUUUAAUAUUUGAUUUGAAAAAUAUUUAUUAUAUUUUAUUUAAUUUUUUACUAUAUUUGAAAAUCUUACUAUGUUUAUAGUAGUCGUCUCAUCGGUUUUUACUCGUCAUUGGCGGAUGAGUUCCCUUCAAGAUUAAAAAAAAUUACCAUAUCUAAAUCCUAAUUUUCAAAUAGAAAGGGCUCCAAUGUUAUAAUAUAAAUGACCUCAAUCAUUAUUAAGAAUCACGGUAAGCAUUUUGAAAAAAAAUUACGUUUCUAGCGUAUUGUAUUUAUCUUUUUUUUUAAAAAAAAAAUUUUAGAAUUUUUUGUCAUUUGUGAGUGCUAGGCCUUUGUUGUGUUAGUUUGGGGCUAGACAGUUUCAUAUUCAAAGGCGACUUGUUAAAAGAAAAAUUAGAAAGACGCGCCUUUCUUGGGCCUAAGGCCGAAAAAGGCACAAAAAGGCUAGUCGCCCGCCUGCGGACUGUUGAGGCAUAAGCCCUUGAAUUUGAAGUUGAACCUUAAGUAAGGCAUGGGGCACGUCUUCAAUGAGUAUGAUGGUGGGAAAAUGAAUUCUCUUAUUAGUAGUAAAUUGAACAAUUUACUUAUAUCUAGGUUACGACUAAAGCAUGAUACAUGCAUGAAUUUUUUUUUCCUUGCCAUAUGCGGAGUUAUCAAGAAAAUUUGGAUAUUCCUAUUGGUUUGCCUGAACUUUCUGCUGGCUUUUCUAACAGACUUAAUACCUUUUUGAACUAAUAAGUUAAUUAUCCAAAAACUAACAAAAUAAGGUACUCUUGAUGGAUAGGGGCACAGAGAUGUUAAUAUGGUUUUAUCAAUAAAAUUGGCAAACUUUCUAUCUCCGGGAAUUUGAAAGAGUUGGCCCUGGGUUAAGUUUACUAAUAUGAGGAUCUUCUCAGGCAAGAUAGCUGAAUUCCUUUUUCCAGCUGGUAGAAAUGUGGCAUUUGUGAUUCACUGACUUGCCAAAAUAAAUGGGAAGUGGAAUCUAAGGCCAAGGGUGUACUUAUUUGGGAAUUGAAAGGUGCAUACUGUUUUGCUGAAUAAAAAAAAGCUGUAUGUCAUGUAAAAAGUUUCCCUUUUUUCUUUUUCUUCUUUCUGUUGGUAAUUUGUGCUUUUAUUGGUUUCAUUUAUGUCAUUAGUCUGAUGUGAUGCAUACAAUAAUCGAACAAUUUGUGCUAUCUCUUGUUUCAUGUAAGAUUUCAAGUAAAAAUGCAAACUGCUAAUUUGGUUUCUUUUUUUAGUUAUAUGGUGCACCCCGAAUUUUUGAGAAAGAGAUUGCAUCAUCUAAUGUGUUUGAGAGUCCGCUUUUCAACUACUUUAAGGAUACCCCUGAUGAACAAUGGGUCAGGACAAUUGAUUUCACACCAUUCUGCCUUAUUGGGCAUUCAUCCGGAUUAUGUUUGGAGUUUCCUUCCAGCAUUAAUGUUCCGAAAUUUCAGGAGAACUUUUCUUACUAUAAAGAAAGUGAAGCAAUUUUUGUUUUGGAGAAUGGUAAUGCUUUUUCUUGCAAUCUGGAUCUAGUUCCUAUUGUUGGUCCUCCCUCAGGUGUUGAUUUGCCAUUUGAGAUAUUAUUUCGAGUUAAUUUGUUGGUUCAGCAUGGGUGCCUUCCAGGGUCAGCACUUGAUUCUAGUUUUUACAAGUUGGUUGAUCCAAGUAGAAUGAAUAUUGACUGCAUAGAGCAUGCUCUUGAGAAGCUUUUUCACUUGAAAGAAUGUUGUUAUGAACCUUCUAUGUGGCUUAAUGAGCAGUACAGAAAGUAUCUUACGUCUAAGUACCUUCCAAGAUCACCCUCGAUAUCCCUAGACACUGGUUUGGAAUACGUGCGUAGGGGCCAAAUUACACCAUGCAAAGCCUAUUUUUGUGGUCCAGAGGUUAAUGUCUCAAACCGCGUGAUACGCCGCUAUUCAAAAGAUAUUAAUAAUUUUCUCCGUGUGUCUUUUGUUGAUGAGGAGUUAGGGAAAAUUCAUUCAACAGAUUUAUCUCCCCGUGCUUCUUCUGGAAAUGGGGAUAGGAGGACUGCCAUUUACAACAGGAUUCUCUCUACUCUCCAAAAUGGAAUAGUUAUUGGAAAUAAAAGGUUUGAGUUCCUUGCCUUUUCAUCUAGCCAGCUGAGGGAAAAUUCUUGCUGGAUGUUUGCUUCAAGAGAUGGGCUCACUGCUGCAGAUAUAAGAGAAUGGAUGGGAAACUUUCGUCAGAUACGAAACGUGGCUAAAUAUGCAGCCAGAUUAGGUCAGUCUUUUGGUUCAUCCACUGAAACACUGAGUGUUCGUAGAAAUCAAAUUGAAAUUCUUCCAGAUAUAGAGGCUGAAAGGGGCAGAACCAAAUAUUUGUUCUCUGAUGGAAUAGGCAAAAUAUCUGCUGAGUUUGCUCGGAGGGUGGCGUUGAAAUGUGGGCACCAAGGUUUCUAUCCAUCCGCAUUUCAAAUUCGUUAUGGUGGGUAUAAAGGUGUUGUGGCUGUUGAUCCAACUUCUUCUAAAAAAUUAUCAUUGAGAAAAAGCAUGUGCAAGUAUGAGUCUGAAAAUACAAAACUGGAUGUUUUGGGUUAUAGCAAGUAUCAGCCUUGUUUUCUGAAUCGCCAAAUGAUUACUCUUCUUUCGACCCUUGGUGUUCCGGACCAUAUCUUUGAGAAGAAACAGAGAGAAGCUGUUGAUCAACUGGAUGCCAUUUUAACAAACUCGUUAAGGGCCCAAGAAGCACUAGAUUUGAUGUCUCCAGGAGAGACCACUAACAUUCUCAACGAAAUGCUUUUGUGUGGUUAUCAGCCUGAUGCUGAACCAUUCCUUGCAAUGAUGCUCCAAAUGUUCCGAGCAUCAAAGUUGCUUGAUGUGCGGACAAAAUCUAGAAUCUUUGUUCCAAAUGGAAGAUCUAUGAUGGGAUGUUUGGAUGAGACAAGAAACUUGGAAUAUGGCCAGGUAUUUGUGCAAUUUUCUGGUAGUAAACAUAAGCAGGUGUAUGAUAGUUCCACCAUGUUUGGAGGCAUUGGAUCAGGCAACCGUUUUGUGAUUGAGGGACAGGUCAUUGUAGCUAAAAACCCAUGUCUGCACCCAGGUGAUAUUCGUGUUUUAAGGGCUGUGAAUGUACCAGAUUUGCACCAUAUGGUGGACUGUGUUGUUUUUCCACAGAAAGGACCAAGGUAUAUCUCUCAGUCUCUUCCAGCCUUAUAGCUUAGGUCAUUCUUUAGUUAAGUCAAUUUGGUUUCUGGUUUGAGUUGUCUGUGCCGAAGUUCUAUAUGUAUAACUGAGAGUUCUUAGAUUUACUUUUCCAGUUGCAUUUGCAAAGGGUUCAGAUUUGAAAAAUAUAAAAAUCCCUGCUUUUUUCAUGCAAGACAGAGGAAUUUACCUUUUAUCAAAAGAGAACUUGGAAAUAUGCUCUCUUCUUGUCUACUCUCCAAUAUCAUUUCUCUAUUUCUCCAAUGGGUUCUGAACCACAAAGUCCCAACUUCAAAGAUAGCUGGACUCAGUUAUAUAAGAAUGAGAGACGGAUAGAAAGUUGUGUAUGUGCAGCUAUGUUCCUAUAGAUGUUUAAGUUCUUAUCUUCUUGGUGUCUUUCACAGCGGAUUGAACCUUAUAAUAUUAUUGUUGUUAUUGUAGUUAAUCAUUGUUGCUGUUAUUAUGAUGUUCACUGUCCAUGUUAUCAUCAUCUAUAUGAUAGUUCUACUUCUGUUGUGUCUGCCUAUGUUCAGGCUAUUUUGGCCUACUUCUGUGGUAUUAUUGUAGGAAACUAGUUGAGUUGUGAGAUAACUAUGUCUGUCACAUCAGCUAUCUGAAUUCUUUUCUGUAAGAUAACCACUCCCUUCAAUGAACGUAACUGGUAUCUGUGUUCCCUCUUAUUAUUUGACAUGUGCAGUAGGCUUCUUGUGGAUAACAGUAGAACAUACCAAUGGAAACUCCUCCUUCCUUAGAAAUACCUAGGCUAUAUUCUGUGGACAUUGCUUCAUCAUCUCUGAUUUAUUUGUCUGAUGAAGCUGAUUGACACAGGCAGGUUUGUUAUUUGUUGUUUCUAUUAUUUUUAGGGGGGUUGGGGGGGCGAGUUUGGUGGUUGGAGGAUGCAGGGGGAAGACUCCUGUGCUUUGGAAUUUCAAUUGACACUAACAUGGACACCUCACCUUUCUUUGUUUUUCAAGUGCUAACAGAGUAACAGACUAGUAUUAUAGUGCCCCUUUUCAGAUUUUCUUUUUUUAUAUAUAUAUUUUUUAGUGUGAAAACAGUACUAACAUUAGUAUCUGAAUUGCAAUCUUAGACCUCAUCCAAAUGAAUGCUCGGGUAGUGAUUUAGAUGGAGAUAUCUACUUUGUCUGCUGGGAUCCUGAUUUAAUCCCACGUCUGCAAAUCCCACCAAUGGACUAUACACCAGAGCCAAGUUUGCAACUCGAUCAUGAUGUCACAAUUCAGGUACUACAUGUGUACGUAUGAAAUGUCCGAGCAAUUAUCUAUCAUCAACAAUAAUACUAUUGUUUCGCUAUCUUUUAAGAUUAUUCAGUCACUUCAUCAAAUUUUUUCUCUUCUAUGGUACAUUCUGGUAUUGUCAAACAUAAAGCUGCAAUUCUUCAAAAUUACAUACGUUCCUUAAUUUUUUUUUUUUUCUUUAUGACAGAGGAUUUAGUUUUGUACGUAGGUUCAAUACUAAUAGGUGUUUACUUUUAAUGUUUGUUUUUCCUUGUGGUGCCUUUAUUUCUGUAUUAUGAUGACUUUACUCCACCUGCAUCUUUUAUGUGUCAAAGUCAUUUUUUUUUUCUGGAUUAGUUUGCUCUUAUGUGUCUAUAGCAUAUGCUAAUAGACAUGCCUAUGGAUUUUUCUUAUUAUAUGAAGCAACAAUUUACACAAUUUACAAGAAAAAUAAGAAGCAGAUGGAAAGGGAGUUGCUGAUUAUCUGGUUUUCCGAAUCUCAGGGAAGCUGCAAAAGCAAAUUUUGGCCCGGGCCUUUUUAAUUUAUGUGACAAUGAUAUCUUGUACUUUUUAAUUCUUUUAGCUAUCUCAUUUGUGCAAUUUUAAGCAAUAAUCUANNNNNNNNNNNNNNNNNNNNNNNNNNNNNNNNNGUUUUUGUGUAAAAGUGGAUGCUUCAAACUACAACGUAAGGUAGUUCAGUCCAAGAGAGUCAUUAUUCCAUCAACCUCAUAACUGGUCCUUUUUUUUUGAAUGCUUUAAAAAAAAAAAAAAAAAAAAAAGAAAAAGGAAAUGUGAUAAUGAAAAAUCCUUUAGAACAGUGAAAUCUUAGGUUGUGUAUCUGUAUGCAUCAAGUUCUAACUGCAAACUCUGUUUUUUGCUUUAGCUUGAUUUUUUUUUUUUUUUUUUUUUUUUUAAUCAUGCAGCUAGAAAACCACAUUUCCCUUUUAUUCAGAGAUUUUCAUUUUGCUUUCUACAGGAAGUUGCGGAGUAUUUCACCAAUUACAUCUUAAAUGACAGCUUGGGAAUCAUUUCUAAUGCUCACACCGUCUUUGCUGAUAGGGAACCUGCAAAAGCAAUGAGUAAACCAUGUCUGGAACUUGCAAGUAAAUUUUCAAUUGCAGUUGAUUUUCCAAAAACUGGAGUACCAGCUGAAAUUCAUUCUCAUCUACGUGUCAAAGAAUAUCCUGAUUUCAUGGAAAAGCCUGACAAACCCACCUAUGAAUCUCAGAAUGUGAUUGGAAAGCUUUUCCGAGCAGUGAGAGACAUUGCACCACAUACAAGCUCUAUUAAGUCCUUUACUUUAGAAGUGGCAAGGCAGUGUUAUGACCCUGAUAUGGAAGUUGAUGGUUUUAAGGAUUAUAUAGAUGAUGCCUUCGAUUACAAAAGCAAUUAUGAUUACAAAUUGGGUAAUCAUAUGGACUAUUAUGGCAUCAGAACUGAGGCUGAAAUUCUCGGUGGAAGUAUUAUGAAAAUGUCAAAAGCUUUCACCAAGAAAAGGGACGCAGAAGCAAUUGGUUUGGCAGUGAGCUCCUUA